GUCCCUACGGGGGGCAGCAGUGGGGAAUAUUGGGCAAUGGGCGCAAGCCUGACCCAGCAACGCCGCGUGAAGGAAGAAGGCUUUCGGGUUGUAAACUUCUUUUCUGAGGGACGAAGAAAGUGACGGUACCUCAGGAAUAAGCCACGGCUAACUACGUGCCAGCAGCCGCGGUAAUGCGUAGGUGGCAAGCGUUAUCCGGAUUUAUUGGGUGUAAAGGGCGUGUAGGCGGGAAUGCAAGUCAGAUGUGAAAACUAUGGGCUCAACCCAUAGCCUGCAUUUGAAACUGUAUUUCUU
rnacentral:rRNA from 1 species